ensembl:lncRNA
CCUGAGCUCUCUAGUCAUGGGCCUUUAGAUGCUGUAAGUGACUGGAAAUUACCCCCUUUAAACACAUCCUGAUUUUCUUUGUGCCUUUAGUUAAUCUAUGGAGACAGUUUCCUUCUCAGUUCCUUUUUUUUUUUUUUUUUUGCUUCUUAGGGCCAUAGCCACAGGAUAUGGAAGUUCCCAGGCUAGGGGUUGAAUCAGAGCUAUAGCGGCCAGCCACUGCAACAGCAACGUGUAAUCUGAGCCACAUCUGCGACCUGCACUACAGCUCAGGGCAACGCCAGACCCCCGAACCACUGAGCAAGGCCAGGAAUCAAACCCACAUCCUCAUGGGUACCAGUUGGAUUCAUUUCUGCUGCACCCCCAAAAAGAACUCCUCGGUUCACUUUUUAGGAAAAUGAGACUGAUUCAGAAAUGACUCCAGUUCUGCCUCCUAAAUUUUAAUUUUUAUUAUAAUUUCACCUCCAUAAGUUCUUUUCCUCCUUUCUGAUAACCUUCUGUGUGUGUGUGUGUGUGUAUGGCUCUUUCUAUCCUUCCAUGCAGAAAUAGCAGUAUGUUUGAUAAUCUGAUAAUCUCUGAGACUUGGAAGUUAUUUAUUAUAUAUUCCAUCCUAGAAGAUAUGACUCCCAAUCCAAAAAUCUUAAUUUGUCAGAAGGUGUCCUUUUUUCAUACAUUAUUAAUCCAUAUAUAUUAUAUUGCAUCUAUUAAUCAGGAUUAAAUUUAAAUAUAUCUGCAAGUUAUUAUUAAAUAUGUGUUAAGUAAACCCUAAAAUGAGUUAUUUGAGAUAUCCUGAUCCAAAGUACUCUUAACUAAAAUGAUAACUGACUUUCUUUUAAUUUCAAGGAGGAGUCCCCAAAUUGUGUUUAACUGGGAAAGAGAUUUAAAGCCUGAAGAAUGACAUGAAGUGCAGAUGAACUUCCAGAGAGACACAGAAAGGAGAGACGUAUGGGAGUCCUGUCCGUGUGGGGAAAUCAUGAAUGAAGUGUUUCAGAGAGGCUUCUAGGACCUCAAGAAGCAGCAUGUUGGAAAGGAGCACCCAGGGGAUGGAAGAGAGAAUGACAAAAACAAACUUUAUCUCCUCCCAGUCCUGCCUGAGUUGACCUCACCUGUCAGGCUCUGUCGUGAGGAAUCAGGUGGGAAAUCUUCAUGGCAUAAGAUGCACUGGGAAGUGUCAAGGAGGUGAGUCUUGGAAGAAGAAAACACUUAGUACUCAGUCUAACCCAUCCUUUAUGAUCCUUCAUUAAAACACAAUGGAAAAACGGAAGGUCACCAGCCCUCUGGCUGCUGACCAAGUGAAAAGGAGCAGCUGUGCCAUCCCCCUUAGUUUUCCAUGCCCCCUUCUGACCUGCCCUCUUCACAUCAUUACCUUUACCUGCAUGGCACUUUUCACACAUGGCAUUUCAUUAAUAAACAUUAACAACUCCAUUGAAGCAGGUGAAGCAGAUAGUCCCAGUUCACAAAGGAAGUUCAUUAAAGUUAAGAAUAUAAUGAAUAUGGUCCUAAGGAGACCUCUAUCACUGAGCCACAAGGCAACAGUUUAACCACAAACUUCUGGAAGCAUUCACUCUGGUGAAUAAUGCUAGCAAUUAUAAACAUACACCAUAACUAUACACAGGUGCUAACAAAUAUAAAUAUUACUUAAACAAGAAGCAACUGUAAGAUGAAAAAUGCCAGUAUUAUAUGUGUGAAAUGUUCAAAAACAGUGUAAAAAGUACAACGAACUUUGGCACACAAUGGGAGUAAUCAGAGAAAAUGUGUGCCUCCAUCACAUCAAAACCAACUGAUUUCUAAAAUGUUAUAUCUUCAAUAGCAAAAGACACAGUAAAAGGACUACUCUAGAGUUAUCCUAAAUUGCUGAAACACUUCAUAUAUUUUCUUUUUUAAAAUUACAGCAUGUACCAAUGUUCUAACAAAUCCAUCUGGUUUCCUAUUGUAUGAUUCAAUAGGGUCAUUCUAUUUUAGCAACAAAAAGGGGGGAAGUGAUGUGAGAAACAGCAAAGUAGACUCUUGUAGCCCAUGCAAUUUCUUUCUCUAGAGAUAAACAUCAAGUUACCAGCCUAGUUUGUAAACUAGAGAAACUGUAUAGGUCCUCAAAGAUUCUUCAUUGAACUUUUUUGUAAGAUUAAAUUGAGGCAAUAUUUUCCCCUCCGUUUUGGGAGAAAGAAGAGUUUAGAGUUUGGACCCUGAUUUAUUAAAUUAUUAGAUAACUGUGUAUGGUUCCACAGAAAUUAUGAAGUAAGCUGAACUGCAGCCCAUUAUAAAUUAAAUUUUGCCAAUGUGAGAAAAAAGAAUGUAUACAUGUAUGUGUAAAAAAAAAAAAAUUUGCCAAAUCCACCUCAAAAACUCUCUAUAUACUAGUCCAGGGCCAGUGACUAGAAACUAGGAAUACUUUAGUAGCACUUCAAGAUAGUAAAAUCAAACCUAUUAGGCUGCAUCAUAAGUACAUUUUGCAAUAUUUUUAAUAAAGAACCCACUACAGUUUAGUGGACACUUAAGAAUGUAAUUAUCCAACUUCAGGUAUCCAAGACAAAGACAGUAGAAAGUUCUCUGCAGCUAAAAUGAGAUUCAGAUGUCUAGAUUUUAUCUGAUCUCUAGAUAUUUUGUGUGUGUGUGUGUGUGUGUAUUCGUGUGUAGGCACACAUGCACAUAUGCAGGAAGAGAUGGAGUGGGGUAGGGAGAGAACUAUUAAGUUAAAAAUAGGUAUGAACAAUAGAGAUGGCAAUUAUAUUUAUUUUCCUUCAAGAUAUUAGCAAAAAUCAGUUCAGAUAUAUAUUUAACUGAUCAUUCAUUGUUCUAAAUUUACUCCAUCAAUACUUGAAAAACAGUUUCUUAGCUAGAAUAUUAUAGUAUCCAUUUUUGCCUGAGUUCAUAGACUCUCAUGAGGUUUUAAAAACUCAUUAGCUAAUAGAAUUGCUCUAGAUCUGGAGGUUCACUAAUAAAAUAAAAUUCUCUAGUGUUUAACUAGCAAAUUGUACUUGCUAAUUGGUUCUUUGUAAAUUGCACUUUGAUGGACCUUGUCCACAGCAUAUUUGAUGGAAGGGAAAAUAUAUAUAAAUCAAUUAAAAACUCAGUGUCUAUAUAUUUAUACUAUGAAGUAGCUAAAAUAUUAUUUUUCCCAGGCACAUUAACCUUUUAAUUACAAGAGCGCUAUAUACCUCUCAAAUUUGCAUUGUGUAUGAAGGUUUGUCCUUUAAAUAUUUGGAUGUCAUGAAUUUUCUUGAUUUAUGUUUGAGUGAUUUACAUCUUCAGUACUUUGGUAAAAAGCCAAAUCCAUUGGACUGGAUCACCCUGAAUGAAGUGAACCUGACUAGAUUCUCUCCAGGAGACAUCCAAUUCUCGCAUAAAAUGUAGAGAUGAUUCCUAGGGAUUUAACAAAUUUUGCUGACCUAGAAGGAAUAAAACUACACUUCUGCUAUUAUAGAAAACAUAGUAUGGUCAAAACAUGAUUCCCCUGGCCAGUUUUCCUCUUUGACCUCGACUAUUUAAGAAACAAAGACAUUUCUGUUUUUUACUUUUUUUACAGAGCAUUCUAUUUUAACUUGACUGAUUUAUACAGAUUUAACACCAAAUGAUAUUGUUAAUCUGUUUAUUACACAUACAGUCUUCUGCUCAUGAAAAUGGAGGGAGUGUUCUUCCAGAACACGCACACUUAAUAAAAUUCAUUUUCCUAAUUUCCAAGUGAUUUUAGGAAAUCUGGAGAGACUAAUAAACGUAUGAGAACAGCCUAUACUUAGGAAAAUCUGGCAGGAUUGUCUUCUCUAAUUUAUUAAUAUAUGUAAAUAUUUACUUUUAUAAUUAUCUAUAUACAUGUAUACAUACAUGAAUAUAAAUGAGUUUGUGAGGUGAACAUGGUAACCACUACACUACAGAAACACCCCAAAUGAAUCUGAUAAUCAAAUGUACUUGUACUAAAUUCCUUAGCAAAAAAGUAUUAGUUUAUUUUUUUAAAUGCUGACAAUUGCAAAGCUUUGUCAGAGAAAAUGAUCAGGCAACUAUGACACUGUUUUACAUUUUUUGUUUUUACUUCCACUGUGUAGGUUACAGUAUUAGGUACAGUUUGGGAAAGGAAGGGUGAUGAGAUAGAGGCAUUUGAUAUUUAUAUUGAAUUCAGUAAGUAUUUAUCAAAUGCCAUCCACGAUCAAUGUAGCAAUAAGCUUCAUUGUUAUGGAAUAUCUGAAAGAGAUAAUAUAAAGAUGGGCUAUGCAAAAAUACUUAAAGAAAUAAAUCAUUCUUGACACUUAGAAUGGCUAGAGUUUUACCUUUUUAAACUCACAAAUACCCUUUGCAUUUCUUUUUAAAUCUUUUUAAAGCCACACCAGUGGCAUAUGAAGGUUCCCUGGCUAGGCUAGGGGUCCAAUUGGAGCUAUAGCCACCAGCCUACACCACAGCCACCGCAAUGAGGGAUCUGAGCCACAUCUGCAACCUAUUCCACAGCUCACAGCAACACCAGAUCCUUAACCCGUGAGUGAGGCCAGGUUCAAACCCUCACCCUGAUGGAUAUUAGUUGGGUUCGUUAACCGCUGAGCCACGAAGGGAACUCCUGCAUUUCUUACACAUAAUAAAAUCUUAUAUAUACAGACAAGUAGAUUUAGAUCAUUUAGUCUGCUCUUAUUUCUAGGUCUUUAUACCAACACCAUGUUACAUAAUUUACUACAGUUUUAUAAUAAUGCUUGAUAUCUGACACGGCAGAUCCCUCUUGGUUAUUCUUCCGCUUCAAAAUGAUCUUAUAUAUUUUUAAACGUUUACCAUUUCAUAUUAAUCUUAAAAUUCUUUUUACAACUUCAGUGCAAAAAAGUUAUUUGGGAAUUUUGAUUGGAAUUGCAUUGCAUUAAUAAGAAUAAUUUGUGUAGAACUGACAUCUAUUAAAUACUUUCAUCCCUGAAUGUGGCAUAUGUCUCCAUAUUCAGGUUUUAUUUUGUGUUAUUCAGUAAAAUGUUCUAAUUUACUCAUGAAGUCUCAAAUGUGGCUGUCUCAAGAAGCUUUCUUAAGACCUCUGAAAGGUUUAAGGUAGUACUUAAUAGAUCCUUCCACUGGAUAAAAGGGCUUCUAGAAGUCUUAAGUUCAUUGUCUCAAAGCAGCCUGAAAUACUCCAAGCAAUAGUAACUAAGUCUAGAUUGAGAAGUAUGUCUCAAAAAGAACUGUAGGAGUUCCCUUGGUGGCACAGUGGUUAACGAAUCUGACUAGGAACCAGGAGGUUGCGGGUUCGAUCCCUGGCCCUGCUCAGUGGGUUAAGGAUCCUGCGUUGCUGUGAGCCAUGGUCUAGUUCGAAGAGGCAGCUCGGAUCCCGCAUUGCUAUGGCUCUGGCAAAAGCCGGCAGCUACAGCUCUGAUUCGACCCCUAGCCUGGGAACCUCCAUAUGCCACGGGAGCAGUCCUAGAAAAGGCAACAAGACAAAAAAAAAAAAAAAAAA